GUGAUGGGACUGUGUCUGAAAUAAAUACUUCAAUUCCUUGCAAACCUUUUGUUGUCGCCUGUUUUACUUUGUUACAAGUAAAGGCGAUGCUCAGGGUUCUUCAACUGGUGCCGUGACCCGGAUCUCCAUUGGAAACGAACUUUCGAGGAGGAAAAAGCUACGUGGAGACUGGCCCGACGAGAAAACGAAAAUGGCUCCACACGUAGUAC